CCUCUAUCAUCAGUAGUUAGGCAAUGAUAUGUUGAACUUAAUUUCACAAGAGACAUAACAGGGUGCAUUAGCACAAUCAAAUAGAGACUGAACUUGCUACCUUUCUGAAAACACACGUUGCAGAUGACAUGACCACAGCUGGCAACAGCUAGUUGGCAUUCAGGACCAGGGAGGUUGAAGCAGGAGUUACAGCAGAUCCAGCACCUGAGAUACAGCACAGUGAAAUUCAACCAUGCAGAACAGUGUCCUCUUUUCCAACUGCCCACAGAACUCACCUGUGACCAGCAUGUCGCCUGGAAUCUCCUCGAUGAGGCAUUUCUCCUCCUGCUCACCCAGAUCAAAGUACAUAGCAGCCGUCAGCACUAGGUGACUCUGGUGUGAAAACUUUCACCUGCUGUUGCUGCGACUGACCACCCAAACUGUGAGUUUGAGGGUGUACCCAAGGACAACAGAGAAACUGAUAGGCCUGGCCAGUAGUAGAAGCCUACAUGUAUUGAUAAAGAAACAUGAAAUAGUUCACUUAUUAACUCAUGUUCCCUGUACCAUCGUGAAACCUACUCGCAAAGACUGUCAUUCAUCAAAAGCCAAGAACCUGUCUUUCUCUUUUUCUUGUUACUUUUCCCAGUAUUUCCCAGUUAUGAUUGCUAUUGCUUAGAAUUUCUGGAGUCAGUUUAUUUCUCUGGUUUUCUGUAGCUUUGGGGUUUUCUAGGAAAUAGCUCAUUUGUGCUACAUUGUGAUUGACACUUUGUCAUUAUCUUAUCAUGGGACAUGUCUUGACACACAGUAUGUCAGGUAUGACUUAUGAAAGCUUUGGCAUAUAUAGCAAAUUACGUCAAUGAGUAACAAAGCUUUUGAUGAAAGGGACACACCUUUGAGAUCGGUGUGUUUCAUAGCCCUAUUUUAUGCUGUGGUGUAUGAUGUAGUUUGUUAAUUGUAUGUUAUAUUUAAGCUUUACAUCAAUCAAAAAUAAAAUUACAAUC